CAUAAACCUAACACUUCAUAUACUACUAAUAUUAUCAUGGCUUUGUAACUGUGCAAAAACAUUUAGAUCCUCCUAUAUUUUUUCCUAUCGCAUGUUUGCUCUCAUGCGGGCACUACAUCUAGGCCCCUAGUUGCACCACUUUUCAAGUAUGAGAGCCUUCUCUGCCAUAUUUUCCACUGUACAGUUCUUCCUUCUUUCUAUUUGUGUUACCAAGCUCAUGGACUGUGGUAGAGAUAUGGAGAUGGUUUUAUUAGCAUGUGUUUUUUUGGUUUGUUUUGUUGUUGUUUUUUUCUCAGUGUCUAAGUCUCAGCUGGGACAGAGCUGAUUUUUGUCAUGGUAUGACGCUAUGUUCAGAUUACUCAGAAAAAACAAUGUGGAUAACACAUUUAUGUUUGAAGUUGUUGCUAAGCAGCGCUGCACAGAGUCAAGGCCAUUUCAGCUUCUCUGACUGCUCUGCCAGUGAAGGAGCUGGGGUUGCACAAGCAGGCAAGGAAGCCCUAUGCUUUAAUAAUAUAUGGAAAUCCAAGUGAUUAGUGAAGACAAGUGGAAGGAACUUCUUUUUUCACUAUGUGGGGAAAAAAGUGAUUGAUUCUGACAAAUAGCCAUUUUUCACUGCCAUCGCUGGGAUGCCAGCAGUUAUCUAACAGGUGGUAGUCAAUUGGAUGAAUCCAGGCUCUUUCACAUGGUGUCCAGCAACAGAAGAAGGGACAAAGAGCACAAACUGGAAUAUAGCUGCCAACCCAUUUUCCAUCAUUCCAUCCAGUGGUACUGGUCAACAGGGGAGGUCCCAACUGACUGCAGAUUUGAUAAUGGGAUGCUCAUCUACAGUACAGGUUCUUCUGUUACACAGCAGUCUUUCGUUGGCAAAAUACUGUAUCGAAUUACAAAUCUACAAUUAAGUGUUGUUUACUUUUUAAUGCUGAAAAAGAUCUGAAAAGUAACUCUGUUUUGGUUUAUCUUGAGUUUGUGCUUUUCUCUACUUUUAACCUUAUAUGUCAUGACUGCCAAGGAAGACA
ensembl:lncRNA